GAUGAACGCUGGCGGCGUGCCUAAUACAUGCAAGUCGAGCGAACGGACGAGAAGCUUGCUUUUCUGAUGUUAGCGGCGGACGGGUGAGUAACACGUGGAUAACCUACCUAUAAGACUGGGAUAACUUCGGGAAACCGGAGCUAAUACCGGAUAAUAUUUUGAACCGCAUGGUUCAAAAGUGAAAGGCGGUCUUGCUGUCACUUAUAGAUGGAUCCGCGCUGCAUUAGCUAGUUGGUAAGGUAACGGCUUACCAAGGCAACGAUGCAUAGCCGACCUGAGAGGGUGAUCGGCCACACUGGAACUGAGACACGGUCCAGACUCCUACGGGAGGCAGCGGUAGGGAAUCUUCCGCAAUGGGCGAAAGCCUGACGGAGCAACGCCGCGUGAGUGAUGAAGGUCUUCGGAUCGUAAAACUCUGUUAUUAGGGAAGAACAUAUGUGUAAGUAACUGUGCACAUCUUGACGGUACCUAAUCAGAAAGCCACGGCUAACUACGUG
rnacentral:rRNA from 1 species